rnacentral:rRNA from 1 species
GACGAACGCUGGCGGCGUGCUUAACACAUGCAAGUCGAACGGAAAGGCCCUGCUUUUGUGGGGUGCUCGAGUGGCGAACGGGUGAGUAACACGUGAGUAACCUGCCCUUGACUUUGGGAUAACUUCAGGAAACUGGGGCUAAUACCGGAUAGGAGCUCCUGCUGCAUGGUGGGGGUUGGAAAGUUUCGGCGGUUGGGGAUGGACUCGCGGCUUAUCAGCUUGUUGGUGGGGUAGUGGCUUACCAAGGCUUUGACGGGUAGCCGGCCUGAGAGGGUGACCGGCCACAUUGGGACGGGGAUACGGCCCAGACUCCUACGGGAGGCAGCAGUGGGGAAUAUUGCACAAUGGGCGGAAGCCUGAUGCAGCAACGCCGCGUGCGGGAUGACGGCCUUCGGGUUGGAAACCGCUUUCGCCUGUGACGAAGCGUGAGUGACGGUAAUGGGUAAGAAGCACCGGCUAACUACGUG